GAGACGGGAUCCUGUGUUGUCUUUGCGUCACACAGCCCAAGGCUCCUGCAACCAGCCAAGUCCAGGCUGGUGUUUUACACUUGCACAGCUCCAGGGGUACAAGAUUUUGCCCUUAGAAGAAUUUCCUGUGCUGCCAGACUGGGAGAUGCUGCCACAGACUGCUUACCCAACUGCCUUGCAAGUCUCCAAGACAGAGACCAUCUCUGAUUCCUGUCUUUCCUGUCCUGCCAUGUGCCUGCUCCUCAGGGAUUACCCAAGUAGGAACCUCACAAUUGUUACCAACAGCACAUCAGGAAGCUGGAGCUGUUCCUUGGUUCUGCAGCUGAAUGAGUGGGCCCUUCUAUAAACAUUUUGCUGUUACAAGCCACCUCUGGAGCUAAAAUGAAGUUCAGCUUCUGCGUGCACCUAACCUUGGAGCACUCUGACCAGAGGGAAAACUCCAGCCAGCUUCUGACCCCCACCUGCCAGACACCGGCCAGGGCCUUAUAUCUAGAGGCACAUCCCAGAAACGUUCCCAGAGCUGCAGGGUGGAACGGCUGAGAAGGAGCCAGAGCAGUUGCUGUGGGGUUUGGUGGCACCUGAUUGCUGAACAGAGCAAACCAUCAAACCCAGGAACACCUGCUUGCUGCUUUCCCGGUUUCAUGUGUGUUUGGAAGCUCUGAGAGAUUUUAAUUCUUAUCCAGUACUGAUGAGAAUAAAGGGUACUCAUGAGCCAUGUGACA